UUUAAUUCGAUGAUACGCGAGGAACCUUACCUGGGCUUAAAUGCAUAAUGACAGACUGGGAAACCAGUCCUUCUUCGGACAGAAUGCAAGGUGCUGCAUGGUUGUCGUCAGCUCGUGCUGUGAGGUGUCGGGUUAAGUCCCAUAACGAGCGCAACCCCUAUUCUUAGUUGCCAGCGGAUAAUGCCGGGGACUCUAAGGAAACUGCCCGCGCAAGCGGUGAGGAAGGUGGGGAUGACGUCAAAUCAUCACGGCCCUUACGUCUUGGGCCACACACGUAAUACAAUGGCCGGUACAGAGGGCAGCUACACAGCGAUGUGAUGCAAAUCUCGAAAGCCGGUCUCAGUUCGGAUUGGAGU
rnacentral:rRNA from 1 species